AUUGAACGCUGGCGGCAUGCCUUACACAUGCAAGUCGAACGGUAACAGGUCUUCGGAUGCUGACGAGUGGCGAACGGGUGAGUAACACAUCGGAACGUGCCUAGUAGUGGGGGAUAACUACUCGAAAGAGUGGCUAAUACCGCAUGAGAUCUACGGAUGAAAGCAGGGGAUCGCAAGACCUUGUGCUACUAGAGCGGCCGAUGGCAGAUUAGGUAGUUGGUGGGAUAAAAGCUUACCAAGCCGACGAUCUGUAGCUGGUCUGAGAGGACGAUCAGCCACACUGGGACUGGGACACGGCCCAGACUCCUACGGGAGGCAACAGUGGGGAAUUUUGGACAAUGGGCGCAAGCCUGAUCCAGCAAUGCCGCGUGCAGGAUGAAGGCCUUCGGGUUGUAAACUGCUUUUGUACGGAACGAAAAGCCCUGGGUUAAUACCCUGGGGUCAUGACGGUACCGUAAGAAUAAGCACCGGCUAACUACGUGCCAGCAGCCGCCGUAACAC
rnacentral:rRNA from 1 species